CGCCACCGCACCUGGCCCUUCUGUAUUACUUUAAUUUUUGACAAUAAUUAUGCAUACUGAGGGGAAAACAAUAAAGAUGUACCCUUGGAAAAAGUGCUUACCUCAAUGAAGUUACAGAUUAAUCAUCAUCCAAGAUUUGGAAUUUACUGCAAAUAGUAAAAACAUUAACACUUAAAUCUUCAAAUACGGAGAAGACUUUUAGGAACCAUUUCAAGGUGUGCAGAAAUUUGCUGAAGAAAAGGUGACUGGUCUCAUGAGCCCGGAAGAAUGAACUCAGAGGAGGUUGUUUACAUGAGAUUCUCCCACUCACCAGCUGUUGAGAGUCUGCGAUUGUGAAGAGCAGGAUCUUAUUACUUCAAUGAAAGCAUGUAACAAGGUUCUCGAACCACCAACAGCCAAGUGGAUUUGGUACAGUGUGGCUGUCUAAUAAAUAAUCAAAAGCAUUUGAUAGAAAUC